rnacentral:rRNA from 1 species
GAGGGGGCAGCAAUGUCACCGGCGAACGGGUGCGUAACGCGUAUGCAACCUACCUACAUCAGGGGGAUAGCCCUAGGAAACUGGGAUUAACACCGCAUAACAUAUGACAAGGCAUCUUGUUAUAUUGAAAUAUUUAUAGGAUGUAGAUGGGCAUGCGUAGGAUUAGCUAGUUGGUAAGGUAACGGCUUACCAAGGCUACGAUCCUUAGGGGCUCUGAGAGGAGUAUCCCCCACACUGGCACUGAGAUACGGGCCAGACUCCUACGGGAGGCAGCAGUAGGGAAUAUUGGGCAAUGGAGGCAACUCUGACCCAGCCAUGCCGCGUGCAGGAAGACGGUCCUCUGGAUUGUAAACUGCUUUUGAAUGGGAAGAAUGUGCUCCUUGCGAGGGGUAAUGACGGUACCAUUAGAAUAAGCCACGGCUAGCUACGUGCCAGCAGCCGCGGUAAUACGUAGGUGGCGAGCGUUAUCCGGAUUUAUUGGGUUUAAAGGGUGCGUAGGCGGCUUAAUAAGUCGGUGGUUAAAAGUAGCAGCUUAACUGUUUUACAUGCCAUCGAUACUGUUGAGCUUGAGAUAUUUGGAGGCAGCUAGAAUUUCCGGUGUAGCGGUGAAAUGCAUAGAUACCGGAAGGAAUACCAAUUGCGAAGGCAGGUUGCUACGAAUAAACUGACGCUGAUGCACGAAAGCGUGGGGAUCAAACAGGAUUAGAUACCCUGGUAGUCCACGCCGUAAACGAUGAUUACUAGUUGUUGGGGUUUAAGCCUCAGUGACCAA